rnacentral:misc_RNA from 1 species
UCCGAGUUGACCCCGGCAGUCUCCUAUGAGUCCCCGGCAUGACCCGCUGGCAACAUAGAACGAGGGUUGCGCUCGUUGCGGGACUUAACCCAACAUCUCACGACACGAGCUGACGACAGCCAUGCACCACCUAUAUAGAGACCCGAAGGCGAUAACAUUUCUGCUAUCUUCCUCUACAUUUCGAGCCCAGGUAAGGUUUUUCGCGUUGCAUCGAAUUAAACCACAUGCUCCACCGCUUGUGCGGGCCCCCGUCAAUUUCUUUGAGUUUUAACCUUGCGGCCGUACUCCCCAGGCGGGGUACUUAACGCGUUAGCUUCGGCACUGAAGGGGUCAAUACCUCCAACACCAAGUACCCAUCGUUUACGGCGUGGACUAC